rnacentral:rRNA from 1 species
CGGACGGGUGAGUAAUGCUUGGGAAUCUGGCUUAUGGAGGGGGAUAACUACGGGAAACUGUAGCUAAUACCGCGUAAUAUCUUCGGAUUAAAGGGUGGGACUUUCGGGCCACCUGCCAUAAGAUGAGCCCAAGUGGGAUUAGGUAGUUGGUGGGGUAAAGGCCUACCAAGCCGACGAUCUCUAGCUGGUCUGAGAGGAUGACCAGCCACACUGGAACUGAGACACGGUCCAGACUCCUACGGGAGGCAGCAGUGGGGAAUAUUGCACAAUGGGGGGAACCCUGAUGCAGCCAUGCCGCGUGAACGAAGAAGGCCUUCGGGUUGUAAAGUUCUUUCGGUGAUGAGGAAGGUGUUUGUUUUAAUAGAGCAAGCAAUUGACGUUAGUCACAGAAGAAGCACCGGCUAACUCCGUGCCAGCAGCCGCGGUAAUACGGAGGGUGCGAGCGUUAAUCGGAAUGACUGGGCGUAAAGGGCACGCAGGCGGUGACUUAAGUGAGAUGUGAAAGCCCCGAGCUUAACUUGGGAAUUGCAUUUCAUACUGGGUCGCUAGAGUACUUUAGGGAGGGGUAGAAUUCCACGUGUAGCGGUGAAAUGCGUAGAGAUGUGGAGGAAUACCGAAGGCGAAGGCGGCCCCUUGGGAAUGUACUGACGCUCAUGUGCGAAAGCGUGGGGAGCAAACAGGAUUAGAUACCCUGGUAGUCCACGCUGUAAACGCUGUCGAUUUGGGGAUUGGGCUUUAAGCUUGGUGCCCGUAGCUAACGUGAUAAAUCGACCGCCUGGGGAGUACGGCCGCAAGGUUAAAACUCAAAUGAAUUGACGGG